ACUCAGUUCUGACCAAGGAGCUGAGAAGUGAUGGCUGGAGCCUCAACACCAUUCUGGACGCCAAAAAGAGCUGGCCUUGGCUGGAAGGUUUUGGAUAGGAGGAGAGGGCUAAAGCAUGCAAAGGCACAACAAUGAUGGAACUAAGCAAAGAAGAUACUCUAUCCCACUUCAGUGAAAACAUCAUGAGGCUUGAAGCAUGGAAGUUGCCUCACCCCCGUGUUUCCUGCCAGGUGGAACAAAGUGCUGAGAGAAUCAAACCAGCAAGCAAAGAGAAGAGGAGCAAGAGAUGGAAAGUGACCCCUAGCAUGCACAUCCCUAAGCCCCAGCUGAUUAUAUCAGCCGGCAAACUCCUCUUGUGACCUAGGCUAGUAUGAGUGGAAUCCCUGUCACUUGUGACCAAAGCAGUCCUGAUCCAGAAAUGCAGGGACUGGCUGAGGGCAGCCCAACAUUGGUGGCUGAGGGUUUAGACCAUCACACUCCAGAAAGUCAGAGUCACGGAAAAUCUUUGCUCAGGAAGGCAACAGUAUACAAAAAGGCGAAGUAUACAAAAAGAUACUUUUAGAGAGAUCAAUCUGGCUGCAGUGAGAGCAAUGGGCUGGAUGGGGCCAGGGCUGGAGGCACAGGUCAGAGUCUUUUGAAAUGUGCUGACAACGCCCAGAUCUCCAUCUCCAGCCCUUAGGGUCGGUGCCUGGUAGGGAUAUUUACUGGAAUCCGCAUUAGAGCUCAGAUGUCAA
rnacentral:antisense_RNA from 1 species